rnacentral:misc_RNA from 1 species
AACUUUCGACAAUGGAUCACUUGGCUCUCGCAUCGAUGAAGAACGCAGCGAAAUGCGAUAAGUAAUGUGAAUUGCAGAAUUCAGUGAAUCAUCGUAUCUUUGAACGCACCUUGCACCCUUUGGAAUUCCAACGGGUAUGCUCGUUUGAGUGUCAUUGUACUCUCACACUCUCCGAUCCUCUGGAUUUGGGGAGCGGUGGACUUGGGUGCUUGCUGCUUCCUUGCGGGUCACGUCAAAUGCGUCAGUGCAUCUCUUGAUUGGACAUAGUACGGCGUCAUAAGUGUCUUCGCCGGCACCUCAUAAGAGGGUGGCUGAUCGGGAGCUCUGUGCUUUCAAACCGUCUUCGGACAAUCUCUGACAACUUGACCUCAAAUCGAGUAGGACUACCCGCUGAACUUUAGCAUAUCAAUAAGCGGAGGCU